CAGGCCAAUUCCGGCCAUGUCCUCCGCCGCCAGCUACCGACGCGGGCUCGUCUCGUCCUCCUCUAUAUCUCUGUCCCAUGUGAGGAGCAUGAGAGGCCUUGACAUGGAGUCUCCUUCCCGGCGGCAGCGAUCGCGUGAGACCACGCCUAGGUGCCAUGGCGGCUCGUGCUGCUCCCCGGCGUGUGGCGCAUCAUGCUCGCCCGAACCGACUUCAUUGGCCGCGGCGGCAACCAGGGCGCACCCCGCAUCCAUGGAGCGUCCAGGAGGGCGAGCAGGCGAAGAUAGACCUGCGGUCUUCCCUCCUCUUCGUCCCUCUCCUACUUGUUUCGGCAGGAUAAUACAUGACGGGUUCAUGUUCAGGGCGAACUUCUCCAUUAGGUCCUACAAGAUUGGGGUGACAUGAUGGCCUCCAAAGAGAUGUUGAUGAACCACUUGCAGCUCCAUGGUGACGGCCUGGAGCGCGAGGGCGUCUGAAGAAGCGAGGCCUCGAGCUCCAUCGCCAUAUCCUCGCCCCGAACUCCGCCCCACUGGGUGCAUAGGCAGUUCAACACGCCCCCGUGGUGUUCCUCGGCGCUGACGUCCCUGGGAUCUUCACCCCAUCUGCAGGUUGAUCUCCUCCUUCCCAACACUUCCCCAAAAUAAUAUGUUUUAUGGUUUGUGAUUUUGGUGAAUAGAAAGUGGUCGUUGUUAUGCAUAUGAGAACCAAAUCAAUAUACAAACUCUUGUAUAAAUCACUUCAAUUGUCACUUCAGCAAUGACUGUGUUAUGAUGUUCAUUUUGAUUGUCACUUCAGCAAUCACUAUGUUAUGAUGUUAUCUGUUUGAUCAUGUGAGGCUAAACAAGGCUAGGAUAAACAGUGAUUGGAUCACCAAUGUACGAAUCCGUUGCCGCUGAACAGUCAAGAUUAUCUGUCUAAAUGAAAAUUUUCAAGAACCUGUACAAUCACUUCAGACCAAAGUCUCGUAAUGGUUGUAGUUUGUGAUGCACGUGUGUUUGAUCUCAGCUGGUCUCUGGAGAAGCAGCUGGGAGUGCUGGUGGAAGAGGUCUCUGGAGAAAGAGCUGUAGGAGCUAUUAUUUAGAGGUCCAUUGCAUGUUAUUAUUGAAUUUGCACAAAUCAUGUAACUUGGUAUUGAUGAUUAUGUGAAUAUGCAAUUGGUUGUGUGCAGUACAUUUUGAUA